UACGUAGGCAGCGAGCGUUGUUCGGAUUUAUUGGGCGUAAAGAGCUCGUAGGCGGCUUGUCGCGUCGACUGUGAAAUCCCGCGGCUCAACUGCGGGUCUGCAGUCGAUACGGGCAGGCUAGAGUUCGGUAGGGGAGACUGGAAUUCCUGGUGUAGCGGUGAAAUGCGUAGAUAUCAGGAGGAAUACCGGUGGUGUAGACGGCUCUCUGGACCGCGACUGACGCUGAGGCACGAAAGACGUGGGGAGCAAACAGG
rnacentral:rRNA from 1 species